GCGGGCGUGGUGGAAUUGGUAGACACGCUAGACUUAGGAUCUAGUGCCUCACGGUGUGGGAGUUCGAGUCUCCCCGCCCGCA
rnacentral:tRNA from 3 species